AAACCAUUGUGUGGACAAUCCUUGACCAACCUUUUAAACCUCGCCCAGGAAUCGCUGAGAAAUUCGCCCAUGUCUUGUUCAAAAUUUGUGAUGAGUUUCCUUAGUCU